GUCUUCUUCAGUGAUUUGUGUUCUCAUCUCCUCAAUAGAUGCAUGGCUGGGCAGAGGUUUCACUCGUUUCUUUGGUGUUAGACCUGUAUUGCAGAAAUUCCAUAUUACCAAGUAAUCAUUUUCAAGGCACUUUUCUGCUUGGGCUUGGAUGCUUGAUAUGCUUUCACCAUGCUUCUCUUGUACAGAACGGAGCUGCUCCGACCAUUGUGCGGUCGUAGAAUCAAUUUCCUUCUUGUUCUCACGGUCCAACAUUAGUGAAUCUGAAAAGUACGCAGGUUUUUUUCCUCUCGUGAGAGAGAGUUCAUAUGAUAAUUUAACAAGAAGAAAUCUGCGUAGUAUUAA